rnacentral:rRNA from 1 species
CCUACGGGUGGCAGCAGUGAGGAAUAUUGGUCAAUGGGCGAGAGCCUGAACCAGCCAAGUCGCGUGAGGGAGUACUGCCCUAUGGGUUGUAAACCUCUUUUGUCGGGGAGCAAAAGCCGGACGUGUCCGGCUGUGAGAGUACCCGAAGAAAAAGCAUCGGCUAACUCCGUGCCAGCAGCCGCGGUAAUACGGAGGAUGCGAGCGUUAUCCGGAUUUAUUGGGUUUAAAGGGUGCGUAGGCGGUUUUUUAAGUUAGUGGUUAAACGUCGGGGCUUCACCUUGAUUUGCCAUUAAUACUGUAAGACUCGAGUUCAGACGAGGUAGGCGGAAUAAGUUAAGUAGCGGUGAAAUGCUUAGAUAUAACUUAGAACUCCGAUAGCGAAGGCAGCUUACCAGACUGCGACUGACGCUGAAGCACGAGAGCGUGGGUAGCGAACAGGAUUAGAUACCCCUGUAGUC